AACAAAACAAAACAAAAAACAAAGCAAAGCGCCCUGCAUCAAGUUCAGGCUGCUCUAUAACAUUCUCAAGCACUUCGUCCAAAUGAUCUAGUAGAUCCAAUCAUACUCAAUGCCUCCAUAGCAUUCUCUGGCAAGCACCAAUAGGAGACGCGCAGCACAGUAGUGUGGAGCAAAUCCAUGCCAUCUUCUGCAGGAAACUACCCUCUUUUUGAGAAACACCUUGGCUCUGGUACUAGGUAGAAACAACUGACCGGUGAUUUUUUUUUUUUUUUUUUUUUUUGAGACGGAGUCUCGCUCUGUCACCUAGGCUGGAGUGCAGUGGCGUGAUCUCGGCUCACUGCAACCUCCGUCUCCUGGGUUGAAGUGAUUCUCCUGCCUCAGCCCUUCUGAGUAGCUGGGAUUACAGGCGCACGCCCCCACGCCUGACUAAUUUUUUUUUUUUUUGUAUUUUUAGUAGAGACAGGGUUUCACCACAUUGGUCAGGCUGGUCUCAAACUCCUGACCUCAUGAUCCACCCGCCCCAGCCUCCCAAAGUGUUGGGAUUACAGGCGUGAGCCACCGUGCCUGGCCUAACACGUGAUCUUAAGAUUAUGUUAGUGAAGUUGAUCCAUAUCACUGUAUCUACCUUUAUUACUUCAUUUGCUGUAGAGCAUUCCAGUAGUAUAAUUAUGCCACAAUUUACCCAUUCUGUUGAUCUCAUUUGAGUAAUUCCCAAUUGAGGAUUACAUCAAAUAAUGCUGGUGAAAUGUCUUUAAUGUUAUCUUGAUGCACACUGGAGCCAUUACUCUUAUGUUAGAGCACAUGUACGUGUACAAAUUUAGUAGAUGUUGCCAAUAGUUUUUGAAAUUUUCUCUAAUACUCUCUACAACCAGCAGAAUACGCACAUCCUCAUCAGCUUUAUCUUCAGAACAAACCAUUUUUUUCUCUGUGUCCAGCUAGCUCACUGGGACCCCUAAGUGACAAAUACAGAUGGUAAUGUAUUUCUUUUUUUUUUUUUUUUUUUGAGACAGAGUCUUGCUCUGUCGCCCAGGCUGUAGUGCAGUGGCACGAUCUCAGCUCACUGCAACCUCCGCCUCCUGGGUUCAAGCAAUUCUCUGCCUCAGCCUCCCCAGUAGCUGGGAUUACAGGCGCCCACAACCAUGCCCAGCUAAUCUUUGUAUUUUUAGUAGACGGGGUUUCACCAUUGUGGCCAGGCUGGUCUUGAACUCCUGACCUCAUGAUUCACCCUCCUCGGCCUCCCAAAGUGCUGGGAUUACAGGCGUGAGCCACCGUGCCCGGCCCAAUGUGGGUAUUUUUAAGCCUCAUGUUUCCUUCAGAGCUUUCUGGCAGCCCAUGUCAGCAAGAGAGUCUUCUGAUUUCAUUUACCCAUGGAGUGAGUAGAUGUGUCGGUGACAUAGGAGUCUCACACGGGACUGGUAACUCUGUACAUUUCUUCUGGGAAAUGGAGUCCUACUUUGGGUAGGAAGAACCCAAAGUUGAACUGAAUACCACGGAGAGCCUUGCCCCUCCAUAUAUGAACACAUAUUUGCUAAGAUUGGUAAUUAAGUGAAUUUUCAUGUAGAACUUAUUUUCAAGUGCUCAGCCAGCCACUGAUUCUGAUUCUUUCAAUUAAUUUCCUACUUAAGAAAAUUAGUUUUUCAUGAGUAGAAUAAAGUGAUGAUUAGACAUCAUUUUUUCUGUAGUUAUAAUGUUGUAGAUUAGAUUCAUCCCUCAUUUUAAUCCCCAAAGAAAAUUCUAUCAAACCUAAGAAAAACCCUUGAUGUACUCACCUCUCUCCGUAGAUAUGUAAUCAGCCAAUUUAUAUGAUGCUUUCCUUAACUCCUACUCCCUUUCCUUUCAAUAUGGCUUAUUUAGACACCAUCUUUUUGGUCUCACCUUAAAUAGAACUCACUUUUCUUACAUUCAUCUAUUCCCAUAUAUACACAUAGAAAACAAUACUGUCCUCUACUUCCAAAACUCUCAUCAAUUUGUAAUAAUAAGUCAAGCGCAGUGGCUCACCCUUGUAUAAAAAAAAAAAUUGUAAUGAAACAUUUAUUUGCUUGGUUAGACGUCUGCCCCUCCACUAGUUUACAAGUUCCCUAAGAGCAGCCCUUGGUUGGAUUUUUUUUUUUUCAUUAUGCCUUAAUGAACCAUUAGCAUUAAUCACUUUAUAAGAAAUACAAAAAAUAAAAGAAAUAUUUAAACACACCAUAAGUCUACAAUCAGAAAUAUUAAAAUGGGUGUCUUUCUGAAAUAAUAUGUGACUCUUCAAAAAGUUGAUUUGACAGAGAAACCAUAGUAACUGGUCUAGGUUCAAAGAUACUAAAGGCCAUAAACUUUAAAUAGAUCUUAGGUCCCAAGGGCCUAUUUUGGAACCAUGUAGAGAAUUUUGUUUUUACAAAGUAGAUACUAGAUGAGUCGUUCUUUUUUUUUUUUUUUUUUUUUUUUUUGAGACACAGUCUCCUUCUGCCACCCAGGCUGGAAUGCAGUGGCGCGAUCUCGGCUCACUGCAACCUCCACCUCCCGAGUUCAUGUGAUUCUCCCGUCUCAGCUGGUGGGAUCACCGGUGCUGGCUUUAUUUAUUUAUUUAUAGUAGAGAUGGGGUUUCGCCAUGUUGGCCAGGCUGGUCUCGAACUCCUGGCCUCAAGUGAGCCACCCGCCUCGGCCUUCCAAAGUGCUGGGAUUACAGGUGUGAGCCACUGUGCCCAGCCUAAAUGACUUUUUUUAAAUUUUUCUUGGUUGAAAUACAAAUACUGUGGUUUUAGUAGACCAGUAUCCUUUAUCUUUAGAAAAUGCAUUACCAACUACCUGAAAGUCAAGUAUCAAUUUCCUGCAAUUUUCAACUUACCCUCAAAUACUUCACCAUAAAAGGUAUUUUAGUUUUCUAGGGAGAGGGCGAAUGGUAAAUUUGAUUCCUAAUACUAGUGCAACAAAAUCUAUAUCCUUUCCUCCUGGGUGCCCAUUUUUGUCUUUUUGUUUAAGAGGCAAGGUCUUGCUCUGUAGCCCAGGCUGGAGAACAAUGGCGUGAUCAUAGCUCACUGUAGUCUGGAACUCUCUGUCUCAAGUGAUUCUCCCGCCUCAGCCUUCCGAGUAGCUGGCACACACCACCAUCUCUGGCUGAUUUUUAAUUUUUUUUUUUUUUUUUUGUAAAGACGGGGUCUCGCUAUGUUGCCCAGAUUGGUCUUGUACCCCGGGUACGAGACCCCGUACCCCGGGUGGGCCCCUGGUUUGUUCGUUUGCUUGGGUUUUUUGUUGUUGUUGUUUUUGAGACAGAGUCUCGGUCUGUCACCCCAGCUGGAGUGCAGUGGCACGAUCUCAGCUCACUAACUUCCUCCUCCUGGAUUCAAGUGAUUCUCCUGCCUAAGCCUCCCAAGUAAUUGGGAUUACAGACGUGCGCCACCACGCCUAGCUAAUUUUUUUGUACUUUUAGUAGAGACGAGGUUUUGCCAUGUUGGCCAGGCUGGUCUCAAACUCCUGACCUCAGGUGAUUUGCCUGCCUCGGUCUCCCUAAGUGCUGGGAUUACAGGCGUGAGCCACCGCACCUGGCCAGCGCCUGUUUUUAAAAUCUGUGGGGAGGUCCAGGCCUACGAAGUUCAGAUCAAAAUAGCUUAGCAUUCUUAUUUUUCUUCAGUAGAAAGACCUGUUUGUGGUCUACAUAAUUUUAUAUUUCCGUAGAGAAAUAUGCACUCCCUAGAUACUUAUUAAAGUGUCUUUAUAACAGAAUGUAUGGCGUCAAAAAUACGUUUAUGACGCAUAAACAAAGGAACAUUCUCAGUUGAAACAUUCGUUCGUAUAACAAGAUGCCCCCUUGAACCAUCCCUCACCCAGUGCUCACCGGAAUGCGCGGGAAUCGCAGGGUCUGUAAGGCAGGACGACGCUGGGGGACAAGUUAACGUGGCUCAAGUGGAGGAAAUUCUUUUCCUCAUAGAAAAAACUCACAAUGGUCUUUUUGGAGGCUUUUGAAGGGAGCUCCAUGGGUGAGGGCGGCAAUUAUCGACCCCGACUUUCGCGAGGACUGACAGCCCGAGCGGCCUCGCAGACCUACCUGACGCGAGCACAGCAGGCCAAGUAUCUCUAAGAAGGCCCCUCGGCAGCUUCGGAUAAACUUCAACUCUCACCACCCGUUCCACUACCAGUACACUUGCUCCCUCCGAAAUCAAGGACAACCAUGGGUAAACCUCGCUCAGGCUCGCGGAGCCAGUACCGGAAAAG
rnacentral:lncRNA from 10 species